rnacentral:rRNA from 1 species
UACGUAGGGUGCAAGCGUUGUCCGGAAUUAUUGGGCGUAAAGCGCUCGUAGGCGGUGUGUCGCGUCUGCUGUGAAAACUCAGGGCUCAACUCUGAGCUUGCAGUGGGUACGGGCACACUUGAGUGCUGUAGGGGAGACUGGAAUUCCUGGUGUAGCGGUGAAAUGCGCAGAUAUCAGGAGGAACACCGGUGGCGAAGGCGGGUCUCUGGGCAGUUGACUGACGCUGGAGGAGCGAAAGCAUGGGGAGCGAACAGG